UGGGGAAUAUUGGGCAAUGGGGGCAACCCUGACCCAGCAACGCCGCGUGAAGGAAGAAGGCUUUCGGGUUGUAAACUUCUUUGACGAGGGACGAAAUAAAUGACGGUACCUCGAAAACAAGCCACGGCUAACUACGUGCCAGCAGCCGCGGUAAUACGUAGGUGGCGAGCGGUGUCCGGAAUUACUGGGUGUAAAGGGCGGGUAGGCGGGAAAGCAAGUCAGAUGGGAAAUACCGGGGCUUAACUACGGGGCUGCAUCUGAAACUGUUUUUCUUGAGUGUCGGAGAGGAAAGCGGAAUUCCUAGUGUAGCGGUGAAAUGCGUAGAUAUUAGGAGGAACACCAGUGGCGAAGGCGGCUUUCUGGACGACAACUGACGCUGAGGCGCGAAAGCGUGGGGAGCAAACAGG
rnacentral:rRNA from 2 species